rnacentral:rRNA from 1 species
ACUCCUACGGGAGGCAGCAGUGGGGAAUUUUGCGCAAUGGGCGAAAGCCUGACGCAGCAACGCCGCGUGAGUGAUGAAGGCUUUCGGGUCGUAAAGCUCUGUCGAGGGGAAAGAAGUGUAUUGUGGCUAAUAUCCACGAUACUUGACGGUACCCCCAAAGGAAGCACCGGCUAACUCCGUGCCAGCAGCCGCGGUAAUACGGGGGGUGCAAGCGUUGUUCGGAAUUAUUGGGCGUAAAGCGCGUGUAGGCGGUUUGAUUAGUCUGAUGUGAAAGCCCUGGGCUCAACCCAGGAAGUGCAUUGGAUACUGUCAGACUUGAAUACGGGAGAGGGUAGUGGAAUUCCUAGUGUAGGAGUGAAAUCCGUAGAUAUUAGGAGGAACACCGGUGGCGAAGGCGGCUGCCUGGACCGAUAUUGACGCUGAGACGCGAAAGCGUGGGUAGCAAACAGGAUUAGAUACCCUGGUAGUCCACGCCGUAAACGAUGAGAACUAGGUGUCGCGGGUAA